UUGUCUUUAAAUCGCGACUCGAACGGUACUCUUUGGCGGAUGUUUGUUGAGCGGGAAAGUGGAAAAGCGGAAAACUCGUGGAAAUUGUGAGCCAACUAGUGCCAAGAAAUAAACCAACUGAAUGUAAUAAAAUACCAAAAAAGAAAAACCGAAACUCAAGUGAAAAGUGAAAAGCAACGAGAAAUCUCAUCGCUUAAUCAUCAGUUUCCUCUGAGGCUUUUCACGAACCCAAAAGCCGAAGACAUUGGCUUGUGACACGACGAGCGUUAAACCAAAAAACGAGCGUGUUUAUUUAACACACUUCCUCGUUGGGAAAGCCUUCAGUUCGUGUCUGCUUGUCGCGAAGUGCGCGCCACAGUGAAGAGGGAAAGCGGAAACGGAAACGAGUACGUCGCUGGCGUUAACGGAAACGGAAGCGUAGGAACAUGUGUGUGUAACAGGACGAUCUACGAUCGCCGAAAAAUAAUAUUUCAAUUAAAAGUUUGCCAUUAAAAAGCCGCUCAAUGUCAAGUAAAAGAUUGCUCAAUCAGUGAACUCAGUGACUUGGUCGAAAAAAAGUGAACUUCUUUCUAAAAAAAUAUCACAGAAAAUACUUUAUCGCGGACUUUUAGCCAGGCCAAAAGGCAGGCAGGCAGCAUGUGUGCCACGGGGAAUGGGAACCACAGGUUAUGCAGCCUCAGUGCUCUGCUCCUCGUCCUGGUCGCUCAAACUAUCCACGUGGAAUACGCCCGGGCGGAUUAUGAGAACACCUGGAAUUUAUAUUACGAGCCGCCCUGCUGCACGGGCUCAUCUGCCGGCCAUCAUCUGCGCCACCACAAAGAACAUGUCAAGGACUUCAGCUGUGGCCCGCUGCAUUACAAGACCUUCUACAUGGAUGAGCGCAACAAUGCCUUAUAUGUGGGGGCAAUGGAUCGCAUAUUUCGUCUUAAUCUGCGCAACAUCAGUCAAUCGAUUUGUGAGCGCGAUGUCCUCAUAUUGGAGCCCACCGGAUCGGAUAUCCUGAAUUGUGUUUCCAAGGGCAAACGGGAGAAGGUGGAGUGCCGCAAUCACAUAAGGGUUAUCCAGCCGAUGAACUUUAAUGGCCAGAAGCUGUAUGUUUGCGGAACCAACGCCCACAAUCCCAAGGAUUACGUAAUAAAUGCAAACUUAACACAUUUACCCAGAUCCCAGUACGUGCCCGGCAUCGGUCUGGGCAUUGGCAAGUGUCCCUACGAUCCUGCUGACAACUCAACCGCCGUCUAUGUGGAGAACGGAAAUCCCUUCGGCCUGCCCGCCCUGUACGCCGGCACGAAUGCAGAGUUCACCAAGGCGGAUUCCGUCAUAUUCCGCUCGGACCUGUACAACCUGACCAACGGACGGAAGGAGGCCAACUUUAAGAGAACCGUGAAAUACGACUCCAAGCUGUUAGACAAACCCAACUUUGUUGGCUCCUUUGAGAUUGGCGAGUUCGUCUACUUCUUCUUCCGCGAACAUGCCGUGGAGUACAUAAAUUGCGGAAAAGCUGUUUACUCCAGGGUAGCUAGAGUUUGCAAAAACGAUAGAGGUGGAAAGUACAUGAUCAGCCAGAAUUGGGCAACCUAUCUGAAGGCAAGGAUGAACUGCAGCAUUUCCAGUGAGUUUCCCUUCUACUUCAACGAGAUACAAUCGGUCUACAAGAUGCCAACGGACGAUACCAAGUUCUAUGCCACAUUUACAACGAAUACGAAUGGUCUGAUUGGAUCGGCAGUUUGCAGCUACGACAUCCGGGAUAUCAAUGCGGCCUUCGAUGGCAAAUUCAAGGAGCAGGCCACCUCGAACAGCGCCUGGUUGCCCGUGCUGAACUCGAAAGUGCCAGAGCCACGUCCGGGAACUUGCCACAACGACACCGCCACGCUGCCGGACUCCGUGUUGAAUUUCAUUCGCAAACAUCCGCUAAUGGACAAGGCGGUCGAUCAUGAAUUUGGCAAUCCGGUCUUCUUCAAGCGGGACGUCAUACUCACCAAGCUGGUGGUGGACAAGAUACGGAUCGACAAGCUGAACCAGGAGUUCCUAGUGUACUUUGUGGCCACCACUUCGGGUCACAUCUACAAGAUAGUUCAGUUUAUACACUACGGCCAGAGGCAUUCGAAUCUGGUGGAUAUAUUCGAGGCCUCGGCGCACAACGAACCGAUCAGAGAGAUGACCCUAAGCCAUAAGACUGGAUCUCUGUACGUGGCCACCGAUCAUCAGGUGAAACAGAUCGACAUUGCCAUGUGUGCUCGGCGAUAUGACAGCUGUUUCCGCUGUGUUGCGGAUCCCUAUUGUGGUUGGGAUAAGGAGGUUGUCGCCUGCCGACCUUAUCAACUGGGUCUGCUCCAGGAUGUGGCUAAUGAGACUUCUGGCAUCUGCGAUACGAGUGUGCUGAGAAAGAAAGUCACCUCCUCAUAUGGCCAAACUUUGCAUCUCUCCUGCUUUGUGAAAAUGCCGGAGGUUCUGAGAAAGAAGCAGACACGAUGGUACCAUCAUUCCACAGAGAAAGGACGCUACGAGGUCCGCUACACGCCCACCAAAUACAUCGAGACGAACGAGGGCGGCCUGGUCCUUCUGGCUGUGAACGAGGGCGACGGCGGGCGGUACGACAGCUACUUGGAUGGCACCCUGCUCUGCAGCUACGGCGUCACCGUAGACGCCCACAGAUGCUCGCCGCCGUCGCAGAAGCAGGACUAUCAGAAAAUCUACUCGCACUGGUGCAACGAGUUCGAGAAAUACAAAUCGGCCAUGAAGCAAUGGCAGGCCAAACAGGAGCAAUGCGGCCUCAAGGAUAAAACAGGACCAAUCAGUAGCAACGGCAAGCACGUGAACGAUGUGUUCAGCAAUGAUGCUUUGGUCUGACCCAGAAAGUACUUGUACAGCUUUGAGUUCUUGUCGUCGUCGACGGAGGGCGUGGCCACCGCCCACCGCAAAUUGUACAUUUUCGUGUUCGUGCUUACCAUAUUUGCUCGCUUCUAAAGUUUCUAGUUAAAAUGUAAAUGCGCAGAAAUGCAGUAAGCACCCAAGGAAAAUGCGGACGAGAACUAUGGGAAUGUGACAAGGGCCGAGCUGAUGAAGAACAAAAGAGAAAAAACAAACAAAAAAGAAAGAAAAAAAAACCACUACAAAGACUGAAAUUUUUAAGCUUUUAAAAUCGACAAUAUUUCCGAUAAUUUCGAUGCGUUUUUUGGUCAUGCUUUCGUUUUCGUUUUGAGAUGUUGUCAGCGUCAAACUGAAUAAUUUUCGACAUAUAACUAACUGAUAUACAAAGAUGGAGUAAACGAGAAAAGUUACUAGCAAAAGGAUCCUGCCAUAAGUCAAAUGGAAAUUACGGUUUUACACUCAAACACACAAACACACUCACGCAAAACAAAAGGAAAGAGAAACACUUACAGAAGACACUAUUUCUAUUUCGAGCUAAGGUUAAGGUUAAUCUAACAGAUACGGUUAUGGAUACAGAUACAGCUACAGAAUGAGAUAAAGAUACAGAUACAGAUAGAGAUACAGAUGGAACUGCAACCACCUAAGUGAGAAUCUGACCUAAAGGCAAAAAGUAUUAACCAAGCUCAUGAGGCGCAACGAUUUGAUUUUGAUUUCGAUUUGGUUUUAUUUUCCGGCAACUUGUCGCUUGGCCAUUUCGGGUUUGGGGUUGGGAAGAUCUUAAACGAAUUUGUAUAUUACUUAGCCAUAUUUGUUCGACUAAACUAGCCUAAGAUAUAUAUAUAUACACGAUUAGCUGCCCCUGUUUAGGUCAUAGACAAGUACGGAACCAACUUAUUACGAUAGCCAAAACCCAGAAACGGAAAUAAAGUUACGGAAAACAAAUGACGCACAGUAUAAUGGCUAUAUAUAUAUAUAUAAACUAUAUAUAGCGAAGGGUGACUUUGUACAUAGGAGAGCUUUAGACGAUAAGUUAAUAAAUUUUGAGUUUUACGUUGCUCUGAUUUAUAAUUUGAGAAUUCUGUAUUUGGCAUUAACUCGCUCUUGUAUAGAUUGUGCGUUGGCCUAAUGUUUACGAUAAGCAAUACAUAGUUAUAUAUAUGCAUAUGCGUAAUUAUAAAUAAAUCUAGAUACAUGAAGUUACUGCAUUGAGACCAACAUGCUCAUGAGAUUACUUACCCGUAAAUAGCGUAGGUAAGUCGGUGUGGCAAGUAAAUAUGUUUUUAGUAAUAUUGCAGAAGUUCAUAAACAAAAAACAUAAACAAACUCAAAACACAACUCGUUGCAUUUAGUAAACAUAUUUAUAUCCGCGAAAACUGCCAUAAUAUAGCAAAAAUCAAGGAAAACCCAAACGCUUCACUCAACCCACAAAACCAAAAUAGGUUUGUUCCACAGAAAAGCAGAACAAAAACGGGAUAAUGGAAAGAAAAUCUUAAGCAUUACUCUCACCCACACACCCGAACACUCAUACACACUCUAAAUAUUUUUCUAAAGAUUUUCUCUGCAAAAAUUUUUAAUGUUUUCAUCUUAGGAUUUACCCAACAACAACCACAAGAACGAAUAAAAAAGGAAAAAUAAAGAAAACAUUUUAGCAUUGCAUACUGGCAUUGCCAUUGUAAAUGAACUAAACCAAAACGAGAAAAAGAAAAACAAAAAAAGGAAAAACUAUUAAACAACAGAUAUUUAAAAGCUACUAAUGCUCUGAGCUUCUAACUUUAAUGGAUGAAAUGUUUUUGCGUUGCCUUUAGUAGUGUUUUUUCGUUCAGACAUUUAUUGUAAAUAAUUUAAAGAUUAUGUGAAAUGUUUUGUAUGACAAUCACAUGAUGUUGAGUAAAAAAAAGAAAGGAAUAAACAAAAAAGCAAACAAAAGAGGAAAUUAAAUGAAAACUCAGAAAAAACAUGCAGAAAAUUUGAAUCAAAAUUGCCAAUGCGGCAAUUAAAGAUGAAAAUUAAUAUUAAUUGAGUACUUAACGAACAAUUCACUGUAAAAAUAUUAAUACAAAGUAAAUAAAUAUUCGCGGUAAAUAUAUAUAUAUAUAUAUAUAUAGAUAUAUAUAUAUAAAUAGAUAAACGACUUUUACAAAGUAUUCAUACAAUAAAAGAAGAUUUGCGCUUAACCAUCAUUCGAAUAUACGCAAUCCGCGGUUCCAUUCGAAAACAAUUUCAAACGCAGAUUGGUUCACGAGCUAUCGAAAUAUUUCCGAAAAACAAAAACCACAAAAUCAGAUAAACAGAAACAAAUUAAGAAAACAAAUUAGUUGUAAACACAUAAAAAAGUAAAAUGCAGUAAAUAAAUGUGAUAAGAUUCUUUAAUAAGCAAA